AUGCAAAUGCUGCCGGAGACGAGGGGGCACCGGAGCAGCGGCGUCGGAGGCGGCGGCGCCGGGGCGGGAGGGAGGGCGGACGCGGCGGCGCAGGGGCACUACCGCGGGGUGCGGAAGCGGCCGUGGGGCCGGUACGCGGCGGAGAUCCGGGACCCGUGGAAGAAGACGCGGGUGUGGCUCGGCACCUACGACACCGCCGUCGACGCCGCGCUCGCCUACGACCGCGCCGCCGUCGCGCUGCGCGGGCCCAAGGCCAGGACCAACUUCGCCGGCGGCCACCUCGCCCCGCACCAGCAGCAGCAGGCGUGCCUCCUGGCUCCCCGGCCGCCGGCGCGGCCCUUCGGCGGGCGCCUCGACGUCGCCCACCCGUCCCCCUGGCACUUCGUCUACUUCCCGUCCAGGCUGCAGGAGUUCCUCGCGCAGCCGCUGCCGGCGGGUGACGCGAGGGACGCCGCCCCGUCGCCGCCGUCCACGGUGCUGGAGCUCCGGACGGGGCCCAGCAGCUGCCCCCAGUUCGACCUCAACGAGCCGCCGUCGCUCAUGUUUGGGUCGUGA
rnacentral:rRNA from 1 species